GAUGAACGCUGGCGGCGUGCUUAACACAUGCAAGUCGAACGGACAGACGAGGUUCUUGCUGCUGUGGCGUUAGUAACGGGUGAGUAAGUAACCCGUGGAUAACCUACCUAUAAGAAUGGGACUGCUUCGGGCCACUGGAGCUAAUACCGGAUAAAAUAUUGAACCGCAUGGUUCGAUAGUGAAAGACGGUUUUGCUGUCACUACUAGAUGUAUCCGCGACGCGUUAGCUAGUUGGUAAGGAAACGGCUUUCCAAGGCAACGGUGCGUAGCCUACCUGAGAGGGGCGACGGCCCCACUGGGACUGGGACACCGGCCAGACUGCUACGGGGAGGCGGCGGAGGGAAUCUUCCGAAAUAGGCGAAAGCCUGACGCAGCAAUGCCGCGUGAGUGAAGAAGGUCUUCGGAUCGUAAAACUCUGUUAUUAGGGAAGAACAAAUGUGUAAGUAACUAUGCACGUCUUGACGGUACCUGAUCAGAAAGCCACGGCUAACUACGUG
rnacentral:rRNA from 1 species